AACGCCCUGCGCUGUGCGUGAGGUUCCAGUCAACGUGAGCCAACACCACGUGACUGGGAAUUCAUCUCCCGUUGGGGACUGCAGGCCCAAGCUCGUCGAGGGACGCACGAUCCUCCGGGGAGGAUGCCCACCUGAUGAGGUCGGGUUCAACGUGGACGGAGCCCACGGCAGAAGCGGGGCCUUU
rnacentral:other from 1 species